AUUUAAUACUUUAGUUAUUUUUAACACGAUUGAAAAGUUGGUCCGAUAAUAUAUCAACGAUAAUCUGGUAAUUUAUCAGAACUAAGCACCCCAUGUUCUACAAGACAUGUUCUGAGAAGUACCUAGUUUUUAUUUCAUUUCACAAGUUCUGCAAUAUUUAUUGCUGAAGGAAAGGAGGAUCUACGCGAAAGUUUUAAAGUAACCACGAUAGUCAUUAAGAAGCAGGAUUAUCAUCUAUUUGUCUCUCAGACAUUUCUUAAUCAUUUCUUUACAAUUAAAUUCUUUCAUCUAACUUUAGGAAUAUUGAUAACCGAAGUAUUUAUAUUUUAUAAACAUGUUAUUCUAAAAUCUUAUCAGAUUUAUCAUUCAGUCUCAUAAAAUGAGUAGUACGUGGUUCUUCGAUGCAAUCCUAAACGAUGAGAAGUAUUACGUAAAUACGUUUUCCGAUCCUUUUAAUAUAUGUAUGUAUAGGCAUGUAUUUUAUCCAAUUAACGAAUUUCGAGUUGGUAACUGAUUGUGAGUUUCUUGUCUUAAGCAGCUGUAGGAAAUUUUAAUUUCUUUUUCUCUUUUCUCCUUCAGGUGUAGUGCAUAAUCAGAUGAAAUAUCGUUUACCAUAAAUAUUUCCCAUACUGAUAACCGUUCUAUUCAGAAACACUUUGUAUAUGUUCUUUCAUUACUUGUUGUAUAAACUGUGGCUGACGCAAACGGGAAAAAGCUCAGGCAGAUGGCCGUUCCUUAUCGUUCGAUGCAAAUUACAAAUUUUCCAUUAUAACUGGCAGUUUGAUUAUGAAUUGGACAAAUAUUAACUCAUGACGCGAAAAAAAUGUAUCUGAAAUAAUCGUGUGAAUAAGCAGAAGAUUUUAACUCCUUACCUCGUGGUACAAGAUAAAAAUUGCAGUACAAAUCGACCUAAAAAAUGUGUCAAUAUUAACUUGGAAUAAAUGCGUCAUCUAUGACUUCAAGAGAAUAUGCACGAAAAUCACGCUUUCUCACGUUCUUCGGUAAACGAUGACGUCAAGAUUCAGCUGAAAACAGAUUCCUCUGUGUUUUUGGGGAUUUUCGGAUUACCUGAUUUCGUCUUUUACCGUCCCCGGUAACGUUUAAUGAAUUCUUGAAGUUCUUCUUUCUACGGAACAACGCUUCGAAGUAGUUUCGAUAGAAAAUCAAAGAUCGUGCGGUAUAUUAAAAUCCAUGUAUAACUGCAAAUGUCGAUAUGUCGCAUUAUCGUUGAUCAUUAAAGUAGAUAGAUUUACGAGCACGUCUUACGUUCGUUAAGCUGAAGAGAAGCCAUUAAUAGUAGGUUGUUAUCGAAUGUCCAUUUCCGCGGGUGUGGUUUAUCAGCGAGACAUUAGAUGAGGUUAAAAAUAGAAAAUACUUUGUCAUAAUACAUAGGUAUAUACGACCGAUAUAUGACUUCAGUAUAUGCUAUGAUAUUAUCUAUAUCCGAAGAUAUUAGAAAGAUAUAAAGAUCAAAUAUAUAUCCAUAUGUAUACAUACAAAUUGGCUCGCAAAGGUAUUCGUACAUUUACCAUGAAAAAUUUUCAUGUGCGUGUCAUGCGUAUUAUAUAAAACAUUCUGAAAUUUUAUUAACGCUGUGAUGAGACACGACUGAUAUGACUAUGUCGGCAAAACUCAAAUCCAAUUUGAAAAUAUACAUGCAUACUUAGAAGUUGCAAGGUAUUUACUGUAAACUUAUAUUUUGUGAAAAGUUAGUAUUAUGAAUAAUUAGUAGAAAAAUCUUAGGCAUAUUAUAAUAACUAUUAAAGUGAAUGAUUGCCUGUUCAAAUAUUUUUGUGUCUGCAAAAUAUAUACAUCUUGCAAUUUCUAUAUACGUUUACAAAAAACUCAAAAAAAGGAAUCCCAAAAAUCCAAAAUUCUAUCAAAUAAUAGUUAUUAAUAAUCAUAAUACUUGGGCGUCGUUACAGUACCAAUAAAAUUUUGAAAUGUUUCGUUUAACAUACGUGAUAAUGUUCAUGAGAAGUGUGCGACUACUACGAGAGCUACACAGUUGCAUUUUUUACCACUAUCUGCAUAUGUAUCCAACAAUGUGGAAUGAUUUAUUAGAUUAAUUUCCUCGAUAGAAAAUGUUAUGUUAAUGUAACAUUUCAUCUCUAGCUAUGUGUAUGUUAAUGAAAUAUAAAUUACAAAGGGUUUACAGAUUAAUUUCUUAAAAACUAAAGUUAUGUUCAUAUUACAUAUGAUUUGCAAUCUUUCUUCCACUAUUUUCCACAGGGUUAUUCUAAUAUUUUCGUAAUCUAUGCGUUAAAAUAUAUCGAUUGGCAUAUAACACGUGCAUUUUAUAAGAUAUGACUUUGCAAAUAUUUCCUUCCUAUGUUAUUCUCAAGGCGAUGGUAAUAAUGCGACAAAAAGUUUUGAAAAAUUCAUUAAUAAUUUAUCAUUAAUUGCUAUUUUUAUCCUUAGAAUUUGAUGAACUUUGGAGUACGAAUUCAUAACAUCAUAAUAAAUUAUCCUCUUUGAAAUUAUGACACCUUCACAUGUCUAUUACAUUAGUAUAAUCAGCAUCUAUGAAGCAACGUAUAAGAUAUUUUCCUCCGACUUUUUACGUAUUUAUU
rnacentral:lncRNA from 1 species